rnacentral:rRNA from 1 species
UACGUAGGGGCAAGCGUUGUCCGGAAUCAUUGGGCGUAAAGAGCGUGUAGGCGGCUCGAUAAGUCUGCUGUGAAAGUCCAGGGCUCAACCCUGGAAGGCCGGUGGAAACUGUCGGGCUAGAGUCCGGAAGAGGCGAGUGGAAUUCCCGGUGUAGCGGUGAAAUGCGCAGAUAUCGGGAAGGAACACCGAUGGCGAAGGCAGGUCUCUGGGCCAUAACUGACGCUGAGAAGCGAAAGCAUGGGGAGCCGAACGAGG